UACGGGGGGGGCAAGCGUUGUUCGGAAUUACUGGGCGUAAAGGGUUUGUAGGUGGCCAACUAAGUCCGACGUGAAAUCCCUCAGCUUAACUGGGGACCUGCGUCUGAUACUGGUUGGCUUGAGUGCAGGAGAGGAAUGCGGAAUUCCAGGUGUAGCGGUGAAAUGCGUAGAUAUCUGGAGGAACACCGGUGGCGAAGGCGGCAUGCUGGACUGCAACUGACACUGAAGAACGAAAGCCAGGGGAGCAAACGGG
rnacentral:rRNA from 1 species